CGUCUGCCUCUCCAUUGGGUCUUAUAUUUCCUUGAACCAAUGCUCAUAGAGCACGGGUUUGGUACAUUGCCCGGUGAGCGUGAUCGUCUCGCGUCAGAUGAACCCAACGCCGGGCUGCCCUUACCCACCUGAUCCUCCGGUUCAGGCUGCCGAUCCAGUGGCUUCCGAGGCAGACAC
rnacentral:misc_RNA from 1 species